UGUGUGUGUGUGUGUGUGUGUGUGUGUGUGUGUGUGUGUUGGUUUUUGUGGUUUACAAGGACUUUUGACCUGAAUACGCACCAGCAUUACAGGGACAUUUGGGUUUAUGAGGACAGGGCCCAUGUCCUUAUAAUUCCGACAGUGUAGAUGCCUUUCUCUAUGUCCCAGAAGCUCCCUCUCAAAGUUUCGCGCCAUGUCCUAAUAUACCACAAAAAUCUGAAAUUUUACUAUACACUGUGUAUCCUCUGAGCUCGGGAGUGCGCCCCUGCAGCCCGGACCCGGUACUGCAUCCGCGUCAUCGAAAAUUUGCAUAUUUUACACUUGUGUAAUUUUGGAGGCCGCUGAUUGGCUAGAUCGGCACCGGAGGGCGGGAAAUCGCGAAAACAAAAUGGCGGCGGUGGGCGGGGCUACAUUCUGCCGCUAAUAGCUCCGUACAAGUAAGUUAAUGCAGUUUGGUAAUUAUUUAAACAUUUCUUGCUAUAAUUUAUCGAUUGUAUAUGAUUAUAUAAAUGCAUAAUGAUCGUGCAAUUAAACAUAUUCCUUAAAUAUCAUCAUAUAACGUAUGAAUGUGACAUCAAAGCUGAAAUUACUCAGUUUAAUAUCAGUAUAUUAAUGUAACGCUAUUAAUGUAACAUUUCAUAGAUUGUUAUUUAAAUAUAUUAUUAUUAUUAUAAUUAUAAAUCCCGUAUACUCGUGCUCUAAUCAGCGAGGCAAGCGUGACGGUUUAUUACUUCCUGUUUGGACCGGACGCAAUCUGUGCACCUGAAGCGAAGACAUCUGUGGUGUGAAGCUGUUGGAAACAACUAUUAUAUUAAAGCAGACACAGGAUGGCUGAAGGUGCGAGGCGAAGGAGAAAGCUGAGGCCAUACAGUUUUCACUUCAACAGAAAGACCAUAAUGGGCUCAAGGGCAGGUUCAUCACUGAUCUUAAAGGGAGGGGUGUGUUCAGCUGUACUGACUUUGAGAAAGGAGAUUUCCUGCUGGAAUACAGAGGAGACCUCAUCAGCAAAGAAGAAUGUGAGCGGAGGCAAAGAAUAUAUCAUCAUGCACUUAAAGUUUUCAUGUUUGAGUUUCGCUACAAUGGAAAACUCCUCUGUGUCGAUGCAGCCCGAGAUGACGGUUCUCUUGGGUGGCUUGUAAACAAUGACCAUAUUAACCCAAACAGCAGGAUGAAGACGAUUCGUGUGGAUGGAAAACCUCACUUAUGUUUAUUUGCCACAAGGAGCAUCUGUCCUGGUGAAGAGAUCACAUAUGAUUAUGGUGAUUCUGAGUGGCCAUGGAGAUGCACGACUUUUCUAUAGUGUGGUUGAACCGUCCACUCUUGAAGUCAACACUCUGUCCCAGUCAGAAGACACAGACGUAUAGAAGGUGACUCUGAAGAAGGACCGGUUACUAUUGGAUGAUCAGGACUGUGUUGAGUAGAUGUCACCUGUCAAAGAGCAUGUGUUGAAUGAGGAGGUAUUCACAUGUGUCGGAUGAACUGUUAUUUCAGUGCAACAGUGAAUGCUCUGAAGUCUGAUGUCUUCAUGGGCUGUGAUAUACUUAGCUGUUACCAAAUAUGAGAUCAACAUGACGGAUUCUGAUGGUGAUCCUGAAGAAAGUGAUGGUGAUUCUGAAGAUGAUGCUCUUGCUGGAGCUGCAGGAGACUCCAGUAAUGCUGGUGUUCAGAAGAUGCCCAUUGAGAGCACCACUGAACUUCCUGAAGAGAGUGAGAGUGAGGCAGAAACUGAAAACCCACGGAGAGGGCAGAAAGUGUCCUGGUCAAAUGCUGAAGUUACAGCUGUAAUCAAACAUUUUAAGGACCACA